rnacentral:tRNA from 1 species
GCCAGUGUAGUAUAGAGGUUUGAGCAUUGGACUAUGACUCUAGAGACUAGGGUUCGAAUCCCACCUUGGCC